ACAUCUCCUUAUUAAUUGCUGAGAACCCACGAAGGUAAGCCCAGAGCCUUUCAAUAGCCUCACCAUCUGUCCAAUGUACUCUG